GCCCCAGCAAGCCAGGAAGGAGGCUGGCAGAGCUCCCUGCAGCAGACCAGACCAUCCAGCACAGCUUUUGCAACCUAGGCUGUGAAUUCCUUUUUGUGUCAACAGAGAGGCACAGCCAGGAGGGAACACGCAUAGCAUGUGGAGGACGCACGCAAAACAACAACACUCCGCAAGUGGAGCAGCAAGGCUUGGCAUGUUGCCCCCUCCUAGCCCACACAGCUUUGAAGAGUAAUGCAUGGAUGAUGAUGGCAGAUAAGAAGAGAAUGGCAGCACGCACGUGUCUCUGGACAUUUCUUUUCCGCAACCUGUCUGACUCUGUGGCAUGUGAUCGCCGCAUCUAUGUAUGGGCAAGCAAUCUUCAAAUAAAAUGCUGUCAAUCAACUCUCAAA